GUCCCCUGAGACAGCCCACAGAAGGAGAAAAGCUUUGGUAUUCCCCCACAUUCUUGCCUCCUUUCCUGAUGCAGCAAUUGAAAUGAUCCUUCACUCUCUGCCUACUUACCACUGUCACUUCUCAGCUGCUGCCAUCCUCAUCAAUGAACGCUCUCUCCAGGGAUAAGUCUUCUUUCAUUGCAACACCUGGAGAAUCCAGUGGUCUGUGCUUCAGUGGUCUCAAGAGCUCUUCAUGGCAGUUCUGUAAGAAAGUUGCUGGCUUUAACGCAGGGCUGGUUUCAAUAUAGGGCAGCUGUUUUCUGCUGUGAGUCUUCUGGAGGAAAAAGAAUGGGUUCACGGAAACUGAAAGUAACUGAAAAAUGUAUCCUGGCUGGUGAGUGUAGGAAGAGUAGUUCAUUGUUCUAAUGGUUGAAUAUAUUUCAAAAGAACAUUUAAUAAGAAUUGGAGAACACAAGCAUUUCAAAUAAAUGGCAAUGAUCAUAUGAGCAUGUGUAAGAGAAUUUAAUUGCAGAGGAAAAUGGAUGAUUAUGCAUAUCACACUGCCUCUAAUAUUGAUCUUGAGUUGGUUUCCAAAUUGAUAAGUAAAUACAUUCUAUAUUGAAAAUCAUUUUAAAUGUCUAUUUAUAUCUUUUAAAUAUUGCCAAUAAUUAGCUUAAAUACAUGCCCUCAAAAUAUUCAGGAAUCUACUCGGUCCUUUCCUUCUCAUCCUUGAUUAGAAGUUAAAAAUCAGAUUUCUCUAGCUUUGUUUUAAAAGAUACAGAAAAUUUAAUUUUCCAAUUAUCCAAGCACAAUCUCCUUUCAUUCAUUUACUCAUUUAAUUAUGCAACAUCUACUGAGUAUCCAUUAUCAUAGUAAUCGAGCUGCCCGUCACUGAAGUCAUUAUCAAACUGUGGUUUAAACCUUAGCUCUGUGUUUCUCCACAUUAACUCCUUUGGCUUCCAUAUUGAUUGCAACUUGUGUCUCAUUCUGUCAUCUAAAUCAUGUGGUUUAGAGAUAGGCCUUAGUGUCCACCUGGCCAGGCACAAGUCUGGCGUUAAGGACCUACCUGCUUUAAUGAUCCACUCUCAGGGAGUCAGAACAGUUAAGUACUAAAAAGACAAGGAUCUGGAGUGAGAGUCCCUAGGGCUAUGUCACUGGAUUCAUGUUUCUUUAUGGGCAAGCUACUUAACAUCUCUGCAUCCCCAUCUCUCAAAAUAACCAUAACACUACCUACCUCACAAGGGUGCUGUGAGGCUUACCAUGAAAAGCAUGAGGAAAUGGUAUAUAGAAUUGGGGACCUAGUAGAAAGGUGCUACAGGAUUAGAGUAACUAGAUAUCAUUGAGUAUGAACCCUGCUUUCCCUGGGAGCCCCAGGUUUGCCAGAAUAUGUCUAAUCUCUUUACGGCUAGAAUCUAAAAUGGUGUUGGCCAUCGAUUGGCUUAGGUUAUCUUUAAUGUCAUUGACUUUUACAAAAUUCGUAACGACACCUCUUUCUCAGAGAGAUGCUGGAUUGGAAAAAUUAUUAAAUUAAUUUUAACAAAGGAGAACAAAAAUGAUUCACUUCCAGGUGCUGGGUGUGGCGGAACAGUUAUUUAUUUCAAUAUGAAACAAGAGUUUGAAUGGAUAUCUUCAAGGGGAUGCAUUUUAUUGGAGACAUUUAUUGCCUGGGGCUUUCUGUUUUCAGUCUGACUCCCCAGCUUUCUGUAUCAUUGUUUUAACAUACAUCCCCUUUUCUCCUUUAUUGGAAGAGAAGCUAUAAUUCUCCUCAUUUCAUGAUAAUCCUUUUCAGUCUGUUUUGCUCAAAGGACAAAUUCUUUUCAACAACUAUUGUAAUUAUUUUCUUAGAGGGCCAUUUUUAAUUGCCGUAUUGUUUAGCUAAGCCCUAUUGUCUUGGUGUCCUUCAAAACUGUCAGUUGCAUUAAAAUAUAGGGGUGGGAGGGGAGCUGAUAAGCACAUUGUUGUAAUUGAUUUGUAUGUUUGAAUUGUCUUAUCAGAAAACAAGGUUAUGAAUUUCAUCUGUUGAGACACAAAAAUAAAAUACUUUCU
rnacentral:lncRNA from 1 species